GACGAACGCUGGCGGCGUGCUUAACACAUGCAAGUCGAACGGAAAGGCCCUGCUUUUGUGGGGUGCUCGAGUGGCGAACGGGUGAGUAACACGUGAGUAACCUGCCCUUGACUUUGGGAUAACUUCAGGAAACUGGGGCUAAUACCGGAUAGGAGCUCCUGCUGCAUGGUGGGGGUUGGAAAGUUUCGGCGGUUGGGGAUGGACUCGCGGCUUAUCAGCUUGUUGGUGGGGUAGUGGCUUACCAAGGCUUUGACGGGUAGCCGGCCUGAGAGGGUGACCGGCGACAUUGGGACUAAGAUACGGCCCAGAGUCCUACGGGAGGCAGCAGUGGGGAGUAUUGCACAAUGGGCGGAAGCCUGAUGCAGCAACGCCGCGUGCGGGAUGACGGCCUUCGGGUUGUAAACCGCUUUCGCCUGUGACGAAGCGUGAGUGACGGUAAUGGGUAAAGAAGCACCGGCUAACUACGUG
rnacentral:rRNA from 1 species